ACCCUGAGAUCAUGACCUGAGCUGAAACCAAGAGUUGGACGCUUAACUGACUGCGCCACCCAAGCACCCCUUUUUUUGAGAAAAGCAGUAAGGGGCCACCACCAUUGGGUCCCCAGACCUACCAGGGUCUGGGAGGGAAUUCUGCAGUCACUGCUAAAUCUAGGCUAUCCUGGUCCAACCCCUGUUGAGUGACCCGGGUUGACAGUAAAUUGUAUUGAUGACAUGUCCAGCAAAGUUGGAGUUUCAAGGAUUAGGUAGAGUCCUUUCCCCCUGGGAAAGAUGUGUUGGUGACAGAUUCCUGGGGCUCUCCUCUGCUGCUGGACCUAAAUAGAGUCCCCAGGUGCACAGAACUUUGUCACCAGGCUUUCUCUGUUCAGGGCACCAUGAAGGAAAAGGAAUUUUUCCUGCAGCUGGUAUUUUCCAAGAUGGUCAGCGGCAUUUGUGUCUCGAAUGGCACCAUGUAUGGGAAGGCAUAUGAGAAGGUAUGAAGUGCUAAAGUUGGGAGGAAACAUAGGUGGUUAAAACCCAUGGACUUUGGUUAGAAAGUUGACUGAGGCACCCUGAUUAUGACAGCCCUUGGGCUCUGGGCUCCAGUGCCAUGUUUGAAGUGGAAGGUAUGAUUUCCCUUUGGGCCCCAUGUGUUUAAAGGAUGGAGGGGAUAUUUGUGCACGAGCAGCCCAGACCCUGCUGGCCCACCAGGCCCCAGCAAGGAGGAGGGCAGAUGGCCUCCCCUCCCUGUCAGCUCCUGGUCCGAAACACUGCUCUUGCAUCCUGGCAGGCAGUCUGUUCCUCCCUGAACAAGACAACGAAGGACUGUUUCCUGAGAAGCUGUGAGCUGUUUGGACAAGUCCACCCACCCUUUUUACAGUCAGCCCUUGCCUUUGUCGGACUUGCCACAAGUGGAGACCGACUGCUAGCCCAAGACUCUGCCCUGUGGGCAGGCUCCUCCUCCUUCCUCUCCACUGGGCCCUGGUGGACAGAUGGCCCAGUGAAGUGUCCGGGGAUUCUAUGCACAGUCUGUGGGUUGUUGUCACCGGAAAAUUCCAUUCAUUUAAAGGAAAAAAUAAAGUCUGCCACAGGCUCCAUCUCUGGAGCUAGAAAAGUCCUUCAUCAAAGUAAACGCACCUUACCAAGUCCUGGUGUCAACCAAGGAGCAACAAAGGGAAGCCAAUACCUGGUUUGUAAGGGUGCUCAGCUGGGGGUCUCCAAGGACACUUUGAGGCCGCGGCCCUGGUUAGACACGGGGGCGGGGGGCCCAUUCCUUAUCUAAAGGCGAGGUACAGGGUGCUGUGGGGCCUUCGAUCUGGGGCUGUUCUAGAAUACAGCCCUGCCUUGUCUUGUAGGACAUUCAGAAAAAUAUUCAGUCUUAUUUAAAUCAUAUGUGACUUUUUAAAUUAAGGUGAAGUUCACGUAACCUAAAAGCAACCCUUUCAGACUGAACAAUCCAGCGAGCUUUAGGACCUUCACAGAGCCGUGCAGCACACUCCUGUCUAGUUCCAAAACAUUUCUUCAUCCCAGAAGGAACCCCGACCCAUCAAGCAAUUGCUCCCCAUUUCCCUCCACGCCCCCCCCCCAUUCCUGGCAAGCACCGAUCUGCUUAUCUGCUUUCUGGCUCCAUGGAUUUAUAAUUAGGCAAUAUUUUUCAGAAUCCCAAUGACUCUGUUUUUUGAACUAGAAAACAAUCGGGAAACAUCAGCACGUUAAAUAAAUAAGUAUGAAUAGCAAUAUAAUCGCCCCCUUGUAGUGUUUUGUAGGUUUCAGAUGGCUCCACAUUCAUGGUCUUGCUCAGAAGCCGGGAGACAAAUGUUACUGAAUGUGUUGGAAAUUAUCAGCUCCAGGAGAAAUUCCUUUUCCCUUACACAGUGGCGUGUCUGCUACACUGGCAAAUACAGUCGCUACCUUGAUCCACUGCAUAAGGCGUGCGUUUGUUUCUCAAGUAAAGAUGGAAUAAACCUGAAAAGACAGACUCUGUUCACUGGUGAAAACAGAUGUCUUUUUCAUGUUGUAAACACAGGAUAACGGCAUUUAAAUUCAUUUUCAAAAUCGAUGUGUAGACGGAGACUGUCACCACCAUAUUCCCACGGAUAUGAGGGAGAAAAUCUCUUAUUCAUUGAAAAAUAUUUUUGGGUCCCUACUAAGUGCGUGACACCAUGAAAGUCACCACUGGGGACACAGUUGUCUAGGACACUAUUUAUACAAGUGUUAUAGAAGGCCGUUCUUUGCUCCACGAUCAAAUAUUUUCAUUUGAUGUAUCAGUUACUUACAGACUAGAAGCUUCCCUCGAGGUUCUCGCCUGAUGGGAGUGAAAGGAUGGGGAAGGCGGGCAUUUGGUCUGGGGUUUGGCCUGUGGCAGGUGGAGGUUUCAAAGCCAAGUCCACAGCAGGAGGGCCCUGCGCUAGAAGGGGGGGCAGUACACGUCUGCACAAGCACGUGCGCAGAGGGAGCUGUCUGAGCAAAGACCCUUGUGCGAGGGGAAAAUGGGGGGCAGCUCCGGGGCCUGGGAAGACGUCCUCAGUAUCUGAAGCAUGGGCUGAUUUAGGGGGUGAUGGAAAUUUAACCUGAGAUCCUAAGGACCCGACAGGCUUCGUUUUUGUCAUUAGUUGGUCAGACAGGCAACGUUGGGGAGAUGGACGUGAUAAGGAAGCAUGCGCCUGUGCGCGUGCGCGCGCACGCAUGCGCGCACACACACUCCCUGCCAUUGUUAACGACAGGGGAUCGAGUAAUUACUGAGUCUCAAAGAAGACUUAGAAGGCGUCACGGGUGCAGGUACCCCUGGGACUUCCUCUGAUCUAGGGAAACUUCCCAGAACUUGUGGCACUUAAGCCAAGAUCCCAAAAGUAAGCAGAAAUGAGAGCUUUUAUUUUGAGGUCUUGGGAGCUGCAGAGUGGUUUUGAAUGGGGAGUGACACAGCGAUGGUCUCAUUCGAGGAAGCUGGAGGCACCAGCUGUGCAGGCCAGCGGUGGGUGGGGAAAGGAAGGAAGGAGGCUGGGACGAGCAGGGAGGAGACCCUGACUACAGCACGGGAGACCGCCAGAGCUCGCAGUGCGGUCAGAAUGGCAAGAAGGUGCUCCUGGGGAGUCCAAGAUAUCUGGUUCCAGGAACCAAACCCAGAGGAGGAGGAGGGCCAGAGGAGGAGCGGGGUGGGGGUGGGGAGCAUGUUAAUUCAGGACUUGCAGGUGCGCACGUGCUGCUGCGGGCGAAGGUGGGCUUGCAGCUUGGAGCCCAGGCAGGCCAGGAGACCCAGAGGAGGAAUAUCCUUCUGGAGAAAACCACACAGCCUUGCAGACGGGUCCUGCCACUAGUGCAUGCUUCCAGCCUGGCCUGAGCCUCACCCUUUAUGCUUUCCUGGCCAGUUCUCUUUCGUGUUCCUCAGAAAGGGGGUGCUCAAACUGCCACCUCUCUCUCUCAAAUCUUCUCCAACCCCCUCACUUACCACAGAUGACAUCACGGCCACUUCGCAGAAAACAGAGGCCAUCAGAAGGGGAUCUCCUCACCCUGUCAUCACUAAAUCUGCAACCCUAUCAGCUUGUCUGCCGCCUUCCCUCCUUCAGCUGUUUAGCAGAGACGCUCUCUCCUGACCGCCCCCCCCCCCAGCUCACCACACCGCCCAGCUCUGGUUGCCAUGGGGUCCAUGUUCUCAGGGAGCCUCGGGAGCCUGUGUCCUCCCCUUCCUCUCCAAGGACCCCUUGCUUUCCCACCAGCAUGAAACGAGGGCAAGUCUCACCCAUCUUAAAAACGUCAAGAACCUUCCUGGACCCCUCCUCCCAGGGCAGCUUCCCAGCCGCAGAGGGCCGAGGGGGUGAUAUCUUCCCUCGGUGGGCUCCUUCCUCACCCCCCCUUCCCUUACACCCCUGCAGUUGGCUCCCCUACAGUUGGCCGCUGCUUCCCUAUGACCAAACCCCACUGGCGCAGCCUGUAUUCCCUGGACCACUGCACAGCAGCCGGCCCUGCUACCGACUCCUUCUUGGGUCUGCUGUUUCCUCUGCCUCCCUCUUCCUGCGCAUGACCCUCGACUCUUCCUCACUGCCCAUCUCAGGGCAGCACCCCACCCCGUCCUUCUCACUUUUUAGGCAGGUUUCAAAUCUGAAUGUUCUAGCCAGCCCUGCUGCCACCAUCCUCGUACACGGGCCACCACCCCUCGCCAGGACACCUACAGCCACCUCCACUCUGCACACUGCUGCCCAAACUGAUUUGGUGUGUUCACAGUCUGUUCCCUGCUGCUGUAGGAUCUGGAAUCCUACCACCCAACUGAUUAUGUACAGGUAAGCUUGGAACACUGGACACCGGCCAUUGUAUGCACCUGGGCCUGGGGCAAGAGCACCACAAGCCUCUCAGAUACAGGAACCAGACAGACAGUGGGCUUUCCUGGACGGGGCAGAAGAGGAAUCCUUUGGGAUACAUCUGCACCAAGAAUCAGGUUUCAAAAGCAAUGGUGCAUGAGUACUCAGUAAACAUUGACUGGAAUUGAAGGAACAUUGAAGGAAUGAGUGGGAGCAGCUCCCGGGACUCCUAGAAGAACAUGGGCCAGGCUGGGCCAAGCCUGGGUGCCCCUAUCCCCAACCUCUCCAUGUUGGCAGUACAAGCUUCCAGGGGAAAACCAAAAACCAAGAACCAAGCAGGAGAAGGAUGAAAACCCCACCUUCCCUCUCCUGGGGAGCACUCUUCAGCCACGCCCUGGAAAUCUGUCUCCGUGGAGGGAGUUUCCAUCUCCAGCAAGGGAAGAGGUUUAUCAGAAGGACCUGGAGGUUAGUCAUUAGGAUGGGUGACAGCCAGAAUUGGAGGGGUCAGAAUAGAAAAUCUAGAAGAAUCUUCAGUCUUACUUGUAAGAGUGACUUCAGUGAGAUGAGGGGGCAGAGGCUAUGCCUAAUUUAGUAGGAGAACUUGGGCAAGUCUUCUCCCCAUUCUAAGCCUCAGUUUCCCCAUCUCCAAAAUGGGAGUGAUGACUCCCACCUCCCAGGGUAUCGAGGAGCAAAUGCUACAACCAUUGUGAAAGCUUUAACGGAGACCUGGCCUGUGGGAGAUGCUUCGUAAAUGCCAGCUCUCUUUCCCUCUCUCACAAGGCAAGUACCCCCAAAGCAUGCACUUGCCCCAGGGCACUCAGGACUGAGGACGAGGUGGGGGCCCUGUCAGCAGGGGAGGCGGGGACUGUAAAAAUAAGGGUUUAGCAAAUAGCCCAGCGCCGUGGCCCUCAUGCUUGCCUCCUAAUUAGCUCAAGUUAAUGAACAGCAUGAUUCAUGAUUCGCUGCUUCUCAAGGGUGCCCUUGCUGUUUGCCUUCCUCGCAUCUGGGCCCCACAGCUGCUCCCACCCCCAUUCUACCGACUGCAUCACUCCUCAGCCACACAGCGGGCCUGGACAGCAGCCACAUGUGGGGGAUCGGCUCGCCUCGGCCCCCUGGGCCUUAAGCCCUGCCCUGGUCCGGUUCCCAAACAGGCAGAGCCAGAGGGGCGUCCCAGCCAGUGCUGAGGAGCUCAGUCUAGAAAGCCCUGAGCUAGCUCCUGCACUACACACUUUUGUUUUUUUUAAACAGAUGAUAGACUUGCCAUAGACCGUGUAGGGCAUUAUCUGUGGAGUCCAGGCUAGCGGGCUAGGCCUCCCAGUGCAGGGGCUCACCACGUCCCCUCACCUUCUUCCUUCCUUGGGCCCCUCCACACCUGAGGCGGGGCCUUCUCUUGGUAUGAGGGUACCGGCUGGGCUUGCAGGGCCCCGUUCUCAGAAAAUGGGCUCGUGGGAGAGGCUUCCUGAACCUUCCAGCUCCAUCUCUCUCUGUCCACAAGGUGGGCAGAGACCGAAAUUAAAAGGGUCUACGAUGUUCCUCAGCCCCAGAGCCAGGCCGCCCUACAAAGAACCUUCACGUCCACAAUGGCGCCCUCUCACUUCUCUACUCCACCGACGCCACCUCCCACGCCUGCCACCAUGACACCUGGCUGGGGCGGGAGGAGGAGAGUCACGCGGAGUGCACAGCCCCUGUCUUCAGGAUCUCAGACUUCAUCAAACAAGUCAUCCUCACCAUAUGUUCUCCGGAGUUCUAGUUCCUCUGUCCUGAAACACCUUAAUGAAGUCCUUACAUUUAAGGCAUGGCUCUUGUCUUGAGCAAUUUGAAGGACGUCAUGAUGGGUCCCCAGCAACGCCUCAGUAUCCUCAUGGAGCAAAGCCCGGGGGGUGAGGCCUGCUCCCCACCCAGGAGUGGUUGUCUGGGGAGCUGAGGCUCAGAGUGAGGACACUGUCUUGUCCUGGUUGCAGAGGACACUGAGGUGGGGCUGCCUCGGGCUUCAGAGUCCUAGCAUUACUCUCCAUGCCUUCCGUGUCCUGACCAUGCCCACAGUAAGUAUGGGGAAACUGAUGCUUCAGCCCUAUUUAGUAAGUGCCAGGACAGUCUAGUUUGCGUGUUGUUGUGCUUAUGUUAGCACGUUCAGCCCGCACCUUAACUCCAAGAACAUAAAGAUAGGCAUUUCAAAACGCAUUAAAUUCAUACACGCCUUUACUGUGAUCCCAUUUCCGUCAAAUGCUCAGAAAUGGGACACAUGGGGAAUGGAAAACAGACCGAAAAGAUUUGCUUGACUGGCACCCCGGAUUAGGGCGUACAGGAGAGUGUAAACACACACACCCUCCAUACACACGUACCCUGCAGGUCGGGCCCUGGAUUGGGGCCCUUUCAAAGCCGUGGAGGCUAAGCUGCCAAGUUCAGGGUUGCCCUGGGCCAUGCUGUCCUGGGGUGAGGCCAGGGAUGCUUGGGUCAGAGAAACACAGUGUCCUGGAGCUCCAUGAGAGCCCCUGCCCCCACUGUCCAGGCCUUCCAGAGAGGCACUGGGGCAAUCACCCUGAGCUGAGAAGGCCAGCGUCACUCAGGGGUUGGAAAAAGGGGGACGGUCCAAGGACUUCUAGCUCAUUGCUAAAUAAAGCUUAGCUCCUCUCUAGGGUCCCACCGCCCCUUUCCCCCAGAGUGGACUCCCAGCACAUGUUGGAGUGGCCCGGCUCCAGGGAGCAUUGAACUCACUCACCCUGCCAGCAGUGGGGCCAUGACGUGCUCGGCCUCUUACUCAUCCCGAAGUCAUCAGUCAUGUUUCCAGGAGUGUCGAACCUGUUGGCCCUGAGGCAUCCACGGCUGCCUACAUCCAUUGGUGUCACUGUCCGAUAGAAGAUUCUGCUGUGUGGACCGUGUGGACCACAUUGCCUUUUGGAGCCCGUCUCCGUCUUUUCUCCUGCAGACAAGAGCUCCCACGACAGAGGAAGCUGAGCUGGGGCUGAAGGGCGCACUGGUGCUGCUCCGAGCCUCCCCCACCGAGAGCACUGCUCACCUGGGCGCUGGGCGCUGAGCUGGGUGCUUUCUGUUCUUCAUUGCCUUGAAUCGUCACACUGGCCUUACGGAAUGGAUACUCUAACCACCUUUGGCAGGUCUCGCCAGGGAGUCCGGAAGGGAAGCUGCCCCUCCAGCAAGAGAAGGACAUUUUGACCCCGUGCCUCUUCCCACUGGUUUUGCAGAUGGGCCCUCCCUCUUCCCACCUGGCCCUCUUACACCAGCUCUAGAGAUGACUUCUGCUCUGCUCUGCUGGGCGCCCUGGGUGACUAACACAGGCAAGUGUGUGGGCCGCCCUUUGGCCUGGCCUCUACCCCACCUCCCUGCUCCAUGUCCUCAUCGCUGCCUCGUGGCUUCUGGGGGCAAGGCCUCGGGGAGGUGUGAUGGCUGCUGCCCCCCGACAGCUCCCUGCCGUGGGCGUGGGCUGAUGCAAGUUGGCAGCUUCUAUGACCCCUGCACCAGGUCGGGCCCAGCUUUGGACUUGAGCUUCACCCUCAGGGACCUGGCAGCUGCGGGGGAAGCGGUCAUAUACGCAUAAACAAGGCACAAGGCUCCAGUGGUCAGAGCCAGGGCAGAGGGCUGGCAGCAUGCUUUGGAGUGGGGGAGAGGAAAGGCAACUUAGGCUCAGAAAGCGGAGAAGAUUCUGCAGGAUGCGUACAAAAAGUUUGCACAGGUGGAGGUGGGUGAGGGCAGGACAGGGCUCUGCUUGGGGGCUCCCACGGGGAGGAAUGUGGGCGGCACUCUGUGUGUGUGUGUGCGUGUGUGUGUGUGUGUGUGUGAUUCCGGGAGAUGUUGACUUUGGUGAAGUCAGUGAGAUUUGGAGCUGGCAAAUGUCGUUUUGAAGAGUUCUUGGCGUAGGCGUGAGGGGCAGGUAUGCGCCUUGUGCGGGAAAGGGAAGAAGCCUUCAGUUGGCUUUUGUGUUCCUCAAACCAGUUUGCCCACAUCCUUGGCUUCUGUGCCCUACGAAGGACCUGUCUGGAGCCCUGCGUGUCUGGGCCUGCGGGGCAGCGGUGCCUACGUGAGGCUAGCAGUCUCUCCAGGAGCUCCCUGCGCGGGGUCCCCGGCCACUGGGGGAGUGCAGUGCCCCAUCCCCCUGCUGCUCACGGAGCCCAUGCCCUCAGCCAGCAGGCAUGGGCUCAGCCCCAGGCAGUCCCCGGUGCGGGCAGCACUCCUCUCUGUUGCUCGUUUUCUCUCCUCAGGGCCUGGCUCUAACACAAGGCUUCCUUCUCCUGCUCACACUCAGAGCUUUGCACGACCAGCAACACACACAAGCACUGGGUCUGGCAUGAAGGAAAACCUGGCUCUGCGAUCAGCCUCUGCCAUCUACCAGCUAUGUGGCCUUGAGCCUCAGUUAGCUCAUCUGUAAAUUGGGGCUAAUAACACUUAAUGGGACUCCUCAUGGGGUUUCAGGAGGAGCACGUGAGAUGAUGCAUGUGCAAACACUUCGUGGAGGGCUCCGCCAAUGGAAGGGAUGAUUAUUGCUGUUUUCAUGCCACACAUGACCCAAGCCACACUCACCCAAGAAGGGAAAAACAGGCCCUGAGCAUGUUCGUUUCACUCCCUCAGUAACUAUGAAGCCUACUGGGUGCUGGGCGCUGUUCCCAGCAUGUGGGAUAGACAAACAAAACCCAAGAUCCUUGCUGUCUUGGAGUUGGCAUUCUAGGGAGGGGGUUCCCCCACAUCUCAAUCCACCCAGCACUCAUUCGGACGUCUUGCCCACACCCACAAACCCAGCCGAGGAGGUCAGGCGACGUUGGGUGACCAGGAAUUCUCUUCCUGAGUACCUCGCAGCCACCCAGGGGCCUGGCAGAAGCACUCGGGUGGUCUAACAAGGUCCUUCUGACGCUUGCAUUGAGAGCAUCCGGAGCACUGCAGCCAGAAGAGAGCACGAUCAUGAAGUCUAAUUGCCCAUUUUACAGAUGGGGAAACUGAGGUCCAGAGAAGUUUAACUGCCUGGCCCCAGCUUCUGCAGCUAGUCAGUAAUGUAAUUAUUCAGUCCAUCAACAAACACGUGUUGAGCUCCUGCCCUGUGCCACCCACCAUUGUGAGCGCUAGGGACAGUCUCUGCCUUGGUGGGGCUUACAUUCCAUUGGGCAGCAAUGUAAAAGAAAUUUGUAAGCAAGUAGCUAAGUGCAGGUAGAGACGAGGGCUGGGCAGAGAGCCAGAUGGGGUGAUGGGCGGGGCAGAGGCUGGGGGUGAGGGUGGUCAGGGAAUACCUCACAAGGUGACACUGAAGCCUGAGUGGAAGUGAGGACUUGCAGGACUCCAGAGAGCUUCUCCCUACUUUACUGAAAGACAAAGGAAUGCCUUUGUUCCUGCCUAUGGGGGAAAAAAAGCCUCCGAAGAGAGGAAGGGGCUGUGAGCUCUCCUGGGGGAGAGCCGGGCUUUCUGAGCCUGGAAGCGCGUAGCUGCUGUGAGGAGCGGGGUAGCAGAUCUGGGGAUGCUCUUGUUUUGUUUUGUUUUGUUUUGUUUUCUAGUAGACUUUCUAUUUGAGAGUGGUUUUAGGUUCACAACAAAAUUGCAUAGCGAGUACAGAGAGCUCCCGUAUACCCCUUGGCCCCACCUAUUCCCCCUCUUCCCGCCCCCAACAAACAGCCUCCCUCACCAUCAACAGCACCCCCCACCAGAGAAGCGCAUCUGUUCCAGUCCGCGAACCCACUCUGACACAUCAUGAUCACCCCGUGUCCACAGUUGUCACUGAGCUUCACUCCCAGAGCCGUGCAUUCCGUGGGUUCUGACAGAUGUGUGACAGCACAUAUCCAUCAUUACAGUAGCAUACAGAGUAAUCUCCCUGCUCUGGAAAUGCCCUGUGCUCAACCUACACAUCCUUCUCUUUCUCCCUGAGCCCCCCGCCCCCAACCCCUGGCAACAACUGAUCUUUUCCCAGAAUGUCCCAUCCUUGGACUCAUAAGGUACGGAGUCUCUUCAGAUCAGCUGCUUUCACUUGCUAAUUUGCAUUUAAGUUUCCUCCAUGUCUUUUUACA